GACGAACGCUGGCGGCGUGCCUAAUACAUGCAAGUAGAACGCUGAAGGAGGAGCUUGCUUCUCUGGAUGAGUUGCGAACGGGUGAGUAACGCGUAGGUAACCUGCCUGGUAGCGGGGGAUAACUAUUGGAAACGAUAGCUAAUACCGCAUAAUAGCAGUUAUUGCAUGAUAACUGUUUGAAAGGUGCAAUUGCAUCACUACCAGAUGGACCUGCGUUGUAUUAGCUAGUUGGUGAGGUAACGGCUCACCAAGGCGACGAUACAUAGCCGACCUGAGAGGGUGAUCGGCCACACUGGGACUGAGACACGGCCCAGACUCCUACGGGAGGCAGCAGUAGGGAAUCUUCGGCAAUGGACGGAAGUCUGACCGAGCAACGCCGCGUGAGUGAAGAAGGUUUUCGGAUCGUAAAGCUCUGUUGUAAGAGAAGAACGAGUGUGAG
rnacentral:rRNA from 1 species